GACGAACGCUGGCGGCGUGCCUAAUACAUGCAAGUCGAACGCUUCUUUCCUCCCGAGUGCUUGCACUCAAUUGGAAAGAGGAGUGGCGGACGGGUGAGUAACACGUGGGUAACCUACCCAUCAGAGGGGGAUGACACUUGGAAACAGGUGCUAAUACCGCAUAACAGUUUAUGCCGCAUGGCAUAAGAGUGAAAGGCGCUUUCGGGUGUCGCUGAUGGAUGGACCCGCGGUGCAUUAGCUAGUUGGUGAGGUAACGGCUCACCAAGGCCACGAUGCAUAGCCGACCUGAGAGGGUGAUCGGCCACACUGGGACUGAGACACGGCCCAGACUCCUACGGGAGGCAGCAGUAGGGAAUCUUCGGCAAUGGACGAAAGUCUGACCGAGCAACGCCGCGUGAGUGAAGAAGGUUUUCGGAUCGUAAAACUCUGUUGUUAGGGAAGAACAAGGACGUUAGUAACUGAACGUCCCCUGACGGUAUCUAACCAGAAAGCCACGGCUAACUACGUG
rnacentral:rRNA from 1 species